rnacentral:lncRNA from 1 species
CAAAAGAACAAGGGAUGUUUAUUCUGGAAAAAGAAGAUAAAAUAACUGCCUGCAAAUACGGAAGAGAGAUAAAUUGGCAUAUGAAUGGUAAAAGUGAAACCAGGCUGAGAAAAGUUGCAAGGAUACAGUUCAAUGUAAAGAAGAACUGUCUAACAAGUUGAGUUGUCAAAAAACCACAAUGGAAGGGUUUUCUUGUAUGGUAAUGUCUGAACUCCCCCCAAACAAAAUCCAAGGGAAAGGUUUUCUUAUAUAGUGACCAGUGAGUUCCUCAUUACUAGAGCUGUUCAGGGAUCCGUCAGUGGCACUGCAGAAGGAUUGGCAGCAUUGCGUACAGAGGAGGCUGGACAAGAUGAUCCCUAAGAUCCCUUCCAGUUCAGAGAUUCUACGAUUUUUGUUGCUUCUUUCCUCCCAGGUCCUUCAUUGAUCUCAUUCAAAGCAGGAAACCUGGUUCUAAGUACUCUCUUCUCUCUCUGUCUCUCCCUCCCUCCUUCUGUUUCUGUCUCUCUGCCUCCCUUUCUUUCUGUCUCCCUGUCCGUUUCUGUCUGUCUCUCCCUCCCUCCCUCCUUCUCUCUGCCUCCCUGUCUGUUUCUCUCUCACACUCUCUGUCUCUGUCUCCCUGUCUUUCUCUCUCUGUCUCCCUGUUUCUGUCUCUCACUCUGCCUCCGUCUGUCUCUCUGCCUCCCUGUCUGUCUGUCUCCCUGUCUCUCUCUUUCUCUCUCACUCUCUGUCUCCCUGUCUUUCUGUCUCUCUCUCUGCCUCCCUGUCUGUCUCUCUCUGCCUCCCUCUCUCUCUGUUUCCCUGUCUGUUUCUGUCUCUCUCUGUCUCCCUGUCUGUUUCUGUCUGUCUCUCCCUCCCUCCCUCCUUUUCUCUCUGCCUUCCUGUCUCUCUCUCACUAUCUGUGUCCCUGUCUUUCUCUCUCUCUGUCUCCCUGUCUCUGUCUGUCUCUCUCCCUCCCUCUCUCUCUGUCUCCCUCCCUCUCUCUCUGUCUCCCUGUGUCUCCCUGUUUCUCUCUCUCUCACUCUGUCUCUCUGUCUCCCUGUCUGUUUCUGUCUCUCUCUGUCUCCCUGUCUGUUUCUGUCUCUCUCCCUCUGUCUCCCUGUUUGUCUCUCUUUCCCUCCCUCCCUCCUGUCUGUCUCUCUGUCUGUAUCUCUUUCCCUCCCUCCCUCCUUCUCUCUCUGUCUCCCUGUCUCUCUUUCUCUGUCUCCCUGUCUCUUUCUCUCUCUGUCUCCCUGUUUCUCUCUCUGUCUCCCUGUCUGUUUCUCUCUGUCUCUGUCUCCCUGUUUCUGUCUCUCUUUCCCUCCCUCCCUCCUUCUCUCUCUGCCUCCCUGUCUGCUUCUGUCUGUCUCUCUUUCCCUCCCUCCUUCCUUCUCUCUCUGCCUCCCUGCCUUUCUCUCUCUCUGUCUCCCUGUGUUUCUGUCUCUCUUUCCCUCCCUUCCUCCUUCUCUGUCUCCCUGCCUUUCUCUCUCUCUGUCUCCCUGUCUGUUUCUGUCUGUCUGUCUCCCUGUCUGUUUGUCUGUCUGUCUCUCUUUCCCUCCCUUCCUCCUUCUCUCUGUCUCCGUCUUUCUCUCUCUCUGUCUUUGUGUUUGUUUGUCUCUCUUUCCCUCCCUUCCUCCUUCUCUUUCUGCCUCCCUGCCUUUCUCUCUCUCUGUCUCCCUGUCUGUCUGUCUCUCCCCACCUCCCUCCUUCUCUCUCUGCCUCCCUGCCUGUCUCUAUCUCUGUCUCUCUCUCUUUCUCCUUCCCUCCCUCCCUCCUUCUCUCUCUGUCUCCCUGUCUGUUUCUGUCUUUCCCUCCUUCCCUCCUUCUCUGUCUCCCUGUUUCUGUCUCUUUCUCUUUCCCUCCCUCCCUCCCUCUUCUCUCUCUCCCUUCUCCCCCC